CCCUCUGGGGUGCAGCAGGGCGAUGAACGCAUUAAGAUCAUAGUGGAAGGCGAAGAGGAUCUGGCCACGCUUCCUGCCAUCCUCUAUGCGCCGCUGGACUCCGUGGUGGUCUACGGCCAGCCCAAUGAAGGAAGCGUACUGGUUCAUGUUACUCCUGAAAGGAAGAGGCAUAUCGAAGAGUUUAUAAAGAAAAUGAGCGCGGAGGAAUGAUGAUGGAUAUACAGAUAAUUCAGUCAAAGGACAACCCCAUUCUGAAGAGAAAGGAGAUUGUAUUCAAGGUCAUUUUCGAUGAGUCUACACCAUCCCGAAAGAGCGUGGUGGAGAGGCUGGCGGCAACUGAGAACUCCAAGGUCGGACUGGUCUACGUGGACAGCCUGAAGACGGAGUUCGGCAAGCGUGAGGGC
rnacentral:rRNA from 1 species